GCCGGGGUUAGCUUAGUGGUAGAGCGCUUGCCUAGCAAGCGCAAGGCCCUGGCAAGGCCCUGGGUUCCGUCCCCAGCUCCGGGG
rnacentral:tRNA from 1 species